AUUGAACGCUGGCGGCAGGCCUAACACAUGCAAGUCGAACGAGUGGCGGACGGGUGAGUAAUGUCUGGGAAACUGCCCGAUGGAGGGGGAUAACUACUGGAAACGGUAGCUAAUACCGCAUACCAUCGGAUGUGCCCAGAUGGGAUUAGCUAGUAGGUGGGGUAACGGCUCACCUGGGCGACGAGCCCUAGCUGGUCUGGGAGGAUGACCAGCCACACCGGAACUGAGACACGGUCCAGACUCCUACGGGAGGCAGCAGUGGGGAUUAUUGCACAAUGGGCGCAAGCCUUAUGCAGCCAUGCCUCGUGUAUGAAGAAGGCCUUCGGGUUGUAAGGUACUUUCAGCGAGGAGGCGUUACUCGCAGAAGAAGCCCCGGCUAACUCCGUGCCAGCAGCCGCGGUAAUAC
rnacentral:rRNA from 1 species